AAUUCGAUUAGAGUUUGAUCAUGGCUCAGGACGAACGCUGGCGGCGCGCCUAAAACAUGCAAGUCGAACGAGAAGCCCGGGCUUGCCCGGGUGGACAGUGGCGAACGGGUGAGUAACACGUGAGGAACCUGCCCCGAAGACCGGGACAACACCGGGAAACCGGUGCUAAUACCGGAUGCCCUCGCUGGAUCGCAUGGUCCGGCGAGGAAAUGGAUUCCGCUUCGGGAUGGCCUCGCGGCCUAUCAGCUUGUUGGUGAGGUAACGGCUCACCAAGGCGACGACGGGUAGCUGGUCUGAGAGGAUGUCCAGCCACACUGGGACUGAGACACGGCCCAGACUCCUACGGGAGGCAGCAGUUAGGAAUCUUGCGCAAUGGACGAAAGUCUGACGCAGCAACGCCGCGUGCGGGAAGAAGGCCUUCGGGUUGUAAACCGCUUUCAGCAGGGAAGAGGGCGAGCAGGUUAAUAGCCUGUCAGCUGACGGUACCUGCAGAAGAAGCACCGGCCAACUACGUGCCAGCAGCCGCGGUAAUACGAAUCACUAGUGAAUUCGCGGCCGCCUGCAGGUCGACCAUAUGGGAGAGCUCCCAACGCGU
rnacentral:rRNA from 1 species